AUCUCGGUGCUUGCACCGGGUGAUCAGUGGCGAACGGGUGAGUAACACGUGAGCAACCUGCCCCCGACCCUGGGAUAACCCCGAGAAAUCGGAGCUAAUACCGGAUACGAGACGCACAGGCAUCUGUAGCGUCUGGAAAGAUUCAUCGGUCAGGGAUGGGCUCGCGGCCUAUCAGCUAGUUGGUGAGGUAGUGGCUCACCAAGGCGACGACGGGUAGCCGGCCUGAGAGGGCGACCGGCCACACUGGGACUGAGACACGGCCCAGACUCCUACGGGAGGCAGCAGUGGGGAAUAUUGCACAAUGGGCGCAAGCCUGAUGCAGCGACGCCGCGUGGGGGAUGAAGGCCUUCGGGUUGUAAACCCCUUUCAGCAGGGAAGAAGCGAAAGUGACGGUACCUGCAGAAGAAGCGCCGGCUAACUACGUGCCAGCAGCCGCGGUAAUACGUAGGGCGCAAGCGUUGUCCGGAUUUAUUGGGCGUAAAGAGCUCGUAGGCGGUUUGUCGCGUCUGCUGUGAAAACCCGAGGCUCAACCUCGGGCCUGCAGUGGGUACGGGCAGACUAGAGUGCGGUAGGGGAGACUGGAAUUCCUGGUGUAGCGGUGGAAUGCGCAGAUAUCAGGAGGAACACCGAUGGCGAAGGCAGGUCUCUGGGCCGCAACUGACGCUGAGGAGCGAAAGCAUGGGGAGCGAACAGGAUUAGAUACCCUGGUAGUCCAUGCCGUAAACGUUGGGCACUAGGUGUGGGGCUCAUUCCACGAGUUCCGUGCCGCAGCAAACGCAUUAAGUGCCCCGCCUGGGGAGUACGGCCGCAAGGCUAAAACUCAAAGGAAUUG
rnacentral:rRNA from 1 species